AGUAAACCAAUCUUUCACUUUUUAUCUAUAAUAUUUGACUCUUCGUUUAUUUGAAAAAAUUUUACGAUUAAUAUUUAUGUUUCUAUUGGAUGAUAAAUCAUGAAUAGUACUUUAUGUGUAACUAUUUUCUAAAAAAAUUUGAUUUUUUUAAAUAAGACGAAUGGUCAAACGCUGGACACAAAAACUAAAGUUUGUCUUAUU
rnacentral:pre_miRNA from 1 species